AUAGUAAAAAUGAUUACAAAAAAACUAAAAAAAGACAACUCAAAUUUACUCUGUCCUUAGACAACUAUAAGACAGCCAGAGAGCGAGCCAAAAAAAGCUGUAGAAAGUUCAAACGUGGACACAGAAGAAGAGGUGCUAAAAAGAGCGGAAAAAAAGGUACCAUCAAAAUACUGGACAGAGAGUGAAGGUAAACACACGCGAUUGCUUUUUUUGUCAUGCAUUACUCCGCUGUUUAUGUAUAAAAAAAUCAUGCCAUAUGCCAUGCAGAGAAAAACUACUGUAUAAAAACUAAACUAUAUAUAAACUGUUUCAUCCUGAAUUAAUAGGAGAAUGUGAGAUUCCUACCAAAAAGGAGAAAAAAAUGUCCACAUCCUCUCAAAAAGCCAUCAAGCCUCCCAAAGCCUCCAAGUUGUAAGUAACAGAAUUAACUUUUGGUGUCAUUUCUUGUGUUGUGUUGUGUUGAUUUGAUGGUGGUGUGUCCGGUGUCAAUUAGAGAACAGGCAAAAUAAGUGCAUUGCCAGCUGACGGGAAGAGGCUAUUUUGUGUGAAAUACAAACAGAUUUCUAAUGAAAAUCCUAUUUUAAAAAUGUUUUGAAUUUGGUUGGAGUGUCUUAUAUUGUGUGAGUUGUAGAUUGGUAUUUUUUUGUCAUGGCAUUUUUGUGUAAGUUACAAUUCCUUGUCAAAGUACUCAACUCCCCUGAACUAUGAGUUUAUCCCAUGCUUUCAAUGUCUGUUCUUAGACAAACCACCUACUGACAUCACAAUCACAGCUCACUCACCUGAGGAAGAUGAGCCAUCCCUGCCAAAUCUUUCAGCUAAUAAUACUUUCCAUGAUUUCCAGCAUCUCAUCGAGCAAUCUGAGCAGCGGAUGCUCCUCGCAAUAGAGAGAAUGUCGACAGAUAUUUCAAAUUCUAUUGAGCGUCUGGUCCAGACUAUUCAACAGAAUCAUCCUGGUCCGGCAACCAUCACAACACCACCACAGGAGACCAUUGAGAGGCCCUGCAAAACAGUGCAGGAGCUGCAAGCUUUCAUAUUAAAACUUGAGGGCCCAGAAGGGAAAAAAAAGGAUGGUAUGUUGAUAUAGCACAGGGGUCGGCAACCUUUUUUUGUCACAAAGUGCCAUUUUUAAGUUCAAAAUGUAGAUCUGUGUGCAUGUAGGCUAAAUUAUCUGUAAUGAAAUACAUACACCUCUCACAUUUGCUUGUGUGCCAGCGAUUAACCCUGCUCCGUGUGCCAUUGCAACACUAACAUAUGCUUUUUAAUAUUUAUCUUUAUAUGUUGCAUAGAUACAGUUUUUGAGCCUGAUGGGAGGUAGCAACAUUGGAGACGCUGUGAGGAGAAUCCUUCGGAAAAUAGCUACCAAUGAGGCCUGGUCAAAUUACAGCCUGAAAGGCCGAAAAAGGAAAAACUGACCUUCAUUGGGACAGCGCUUCACCAUAUUGUUUUAAGUAUGCUUUUCAAAACUUCUCUCUUCUUCUCACUUCAUCACGAAACUUUUUAAAGAGCAAAUGAUAAACAGAAAAAUGUCUGUACUGUCCCUGUACCUUCGGAUAAUUUGUUUUCUCGUUUUUGACUUCUAAACGGAAAAAAUAAGAAACUGCUCAUUUAUCACAUCAAAAGGGAUUUUACUUUAAACCAUUCAAGCGCAA
ensembl:lncRNA